UGGCUCAGAACGAACGCUGGCGGCAGGCUUAAUACAUGCAAGUCGUGGGGCAGCAGGGGCGUAGCAAUACGUUCGCUGGCGACCGGCAAACGGGUGCGGAACACGUACACAACCUUCCUUAAAGUGGGGGAUAGCCCGGGGAAACCCGGAUUAAUACCCCGUAACAUAGUGAAGUGGCAUCUCUUUACUAUUAUAGCAGCAAUGCGCUUAAAGAUGGGUGUGCGACUGAUUAGGCAGUUGGCGGGGUAACGGCCCACCAAACAAUAGAUCAGUAACUGGUGUGAGAGCACGACCAGUCACACUUGUCCUGAGACACAGGACCCACUCCUACG
rnacentral:rRNA from 1 species